UCGCACGAGAAAGUGGAGCAAUCCAUGAGUACAGUAGCGUACGGGUGAGUAACACGUGGAUCAUCUACCUCUUGGUGGGGAAUAACGCUGGGAAACCGGCGCUAAUACCGCAUAAGCCUGGAAAGGGAAAGCAGCAAUGCGCCGAGAGAGGAGUCCGCGGCCGAUUAGCUCGUUGGCAGGGUAAUGGCCUACCAAGGCAAUGACGGGUAGCUGGUCUGAGAGGACGACCAGCCACACUGGCACUGAGACACGGGCCAGACUCCUACGGGAGGCAGCAGUGAGGAAUCUUGCGCAAUGGACGAAAGUCUGACGCAGCGACGCCGCGUGGGGGAUGAAGGCCUUCGGGUCGUAAACCCCUUUUAGUGGGAAAGAAACACCCCGGUGUGAACAGCAUUGGGGUUUGACGGUACCCACAGAAAAAGCCACGGCUAACUCUGUG
rnacentral:rRNA from 1 species